rnacentral:lncRNA from 1 species
GAUUUUUGUCAGACAUAUUUAAUUAUGCACUAAAAAGGAGGUGUCGCCCCAAAAUGUUUACAAUAAAUUAAUUGAAAAUCAAUUAGCGGGCCCAGAGAGCGGCAGUUCUGAGACUGCCACUGCCGCUGAAUUAUUGUCAACUCUCGAGUCGCAAAUGGCAAAAAUUAUUAUUGAGUGCUCCAAAUUAUGGGGCGCAGCAGCAGGAUCGCCAAAACAACUUUGGCAUUUGGCUGUGGCUGUGGCUGUGGCUUUUGGCUGCAGGUGAAAUAAUCGCAGAAAUAUUCGAGCAGAAAUCUACGACUGUGGCAAACAAAUUAAAGUGCAUUGCCGUGUAUGUGGCCAUAAAGUUGUAUAUUAUUUGCAUGCAGGCCAAAA